rnacentral:snoRNA from 1 species
UUUAGUUGAAAAUAACCAUUGGCUUUGACUGUGACCAUGAGUGAGAUUUGGCACGCAGAGCCACUAGCAUUUGUAGCCCAUUGGUCACUGCCUCUGAGUUAGGGGUGAAACCCAGGCCUUGAUAGGU